rnacentral:lncRNA from 1 species
UCACACUUCAUUUUGUCUAUGAGACAAGUAUAGGACAUAUAACAAUAUUUUUGCUUCUACCACACAAAAGAAUGAGAAACAGCAUCGAUAAAUCACAAAUUCCCUUUUACUAUUGAACAGUGCAAAAUUCAAGGACGGCCAAAAAUUUAAACCCAUCGUUAUCAGUUGCUUACCACAAAACAAAAACUUAGAUAAGAUAUUUUAGUUUUACUCUAAAUUUUAAGUAACACCAAGCCAUAUAGUUAACUAUUUAUCAUUAUUUUUGCAACGAGGGGCUAGAUGUGAUUGGGAACUCAAAGGGUGGACUCAGCCAAUUGUCACAAGUUUCUAUCUUAUCCAUCAAAAUUACCAAACGAAUAAGAAAUUACCUUUUCCAAAUAAUACCAUUUAUAAGUUUGCAGUAAUCACUUGGUAUAAUUAACACGAAAUCGAAA